rnacentral:rRNA from 1 species
GUAGGGAAUCUUGCGCAAUGGGCGAAAGCCUGACGCAGCCAUGCCGCGUGAAUGAUGAAGGUCUUAGGAUUGUAAAAUUCUUUCACCGGGGACGAUAAUGACGGUACCCGGAGAAGAAGCCCCGGCUAACUUCGUGCCAGCAGCCGCGGUAAUACGAAGGGGGCUAGCGUUGCUCGGAAUUACUGGGCGUAAAGGGAGCGUAGGCGGAUAGUUUAGUCAGAGGUGAAAGCCCAGGGCUCAACCUUGGAAUUGCCUUUGAUACUGGCUAUCUUGAGUAUGGAAGAGGUAUGUGGAACUCCGAGUGUAGAGGUGAAAUUCGUAGAUAUUCGGAAGAACACCAGUGGCGAAGGCGACAUACUGGUCCAUUACUGACGCUGAGGCUCGAAAGCGUGGGGAGCAAACAGGAUUAGAAACCCCAGUAGUCC